UACGGAGGGGGCAAGCGUUACUCGGAAUUAUUGGGCGUAAAGGGCGCGUAGGCGGUCCUGCGCGUCGGAGGUGAAAUCCCCGGGCUCAACCCGGGAACGGCCUCCGAUACGGCAGGGCUUGAGUCCGGGAGAGGGGAGCAGAAUUCCCAGUGUAGCGGUGAAAUGCGUAGAUAUUGGGAGGAAUACCGGUGGCGAAGGCGGCUCCCUGGACCGGUACUGACGCUGAGGCGCGAAAGCGUGGGUAGCAAACAGG
rnacentral:rRNA from 1 species